GACGAACGCUGGCGGCGUGCCUAAUACAUGCAAGUAGAACGCUGAAGAGAGGAGCUUGCUCUUCUUGGAUGAGUUGCGAACGGGUGAGUAACGCGUAGGUAACCUGCCUUGUAGCGGGGGAUAACUAUUGGGAACGAUAGCUAAUACCGCAUAACAAUGGAUGACACAUGUCAUUUAUUUGAAAGGGGCAAUUGCUCCACUACAAGACGGACCUGCGUUGUAUUAGCUAGUAGGUGAGGUAAUGGCUCACCUAGGCGACGAUACAUAGCCGACCUGAGAGGGUGAUCGGCCACACUGGGACUGAGACACGGCCCAGACUCCUACGGGAGGCAGCAGUAGGGAAUCUUCGGCAAUGGGGGCAACCCUGACCGAGCAACGCCGCGUGAGUGAAGAAGGUUUUCGGAUCGUAAAGCUCUGUUGUAAGUCAAGAACGGGUGUGAGAGUGGAAAGUUCACACUGUGACGGUAGCUUACCAGAAAGGGACGGCUAACUACGUGCCAGCAGCCGCGGUAAUACGUAGGUCCCGAGCGUUGUCCGGAUUUAUUGGGCGUAAAGCGAGCGCAGGCGGUUUGAUAAGUCUGAAGUUAAAGGCUGUGGCUCAACCAUAGUUCGCUUUGGAAACUGUCAAACUUGAGUGCAGAAGGGGAGAGUGGAAUUCCAUGUGUAGCGGUGAAAUGCGUAGAUAUAUGGAGGAACACCGGUGGCGAAAGCGGCUCUCUGGUCUGUAACUGACGCUGAGGCUCGAAAGCGUGGGGAGCGAACAGGAUUAGAUACCCUGGUAGUCCACGCCGUAAACGAUGAGUGCUAGGUGUUGGAUCCUUUCCGGGAUUCAGUGCCGCAGCUAACGCAUUAAGCACUCCGCCUGGGGAGUACGACCGCAAGGUUGAAACUCAAAGGAAUUGACGGGGGCCCGCACAAGCGGUGGAGCAUGUGGUUUAAUUCGAAGCAACGCGAAGAACCUUACCAGGUCUUGACAUCCCGAUGCUAUUUCUAGAGAUAGAAAGUUACUUCGGUACAUCGGUGACAGGUGGUGCAUGGUUGUCGUCAGCUCGUGUCGUGAGAUGUUGGGUUAAGUCCCGCAACGAGCGCAACCCCUAUUGUUAGUUGCCAUCAUUCAGUUGGGCACUCUAGCGAGACUGCCGGUAAUAAACCGGAGGAAGGUGGGGAUGACGUCAAAUCAUCAUGCCCCUUAUGACCUGGGCUACACACGUGUUACAAUGGUUGGUACAACGAGUUGCGAGUCGGUGACGGCGAGCUAAUCUCUUAAAGCCAAUCUCAGUUCGGAUUGUAGGCUGCAACUCGCCUACAUGAAGUCGGAAUCGCUAGUAAUCGCGGAUCAGCACGCCGCGGUGAAUACGUUCCCGGGCCU
rnacentral:rRNA from 1 species